rnacentral:lncRNA from 1 species
CAACAGAACAGGGCUUGGGGGGCCAUCACUGGGCAACGGUGUGCCCUCGGCUGAGACUCGAUAAAGUUCCCCAGGUGGAAGAUGUAGAAUCUUUGGACAGAGCAGCAUUAGCUCAGAUCUCCUUUGUUCUCUCCCAAAUUUACAGGUGGAGGGCGACACGACCUCUUCAACUGCCCCACCGUCCAGCAGUGAAAAUUAGCUGCAACAAAUGAUGCCAUCCGCUUUGAAUAUGUUAAAACUCCUGAAGGUAAAAAUUAUGUUUCCUUUUUUAUCCUCCUGUCCCCUUCUCUGAUUUCUUCCCCUAAGUACCUCCACACAGACAGAAUUUUCAUGGGGUGAAAAUGACAGAUAAGCUGUAAAAAAUGGGGUGAGCUUUCCAUUUAGCCUAAGGAAAUUUCAAUUCUGCUUUGCUGGGUUUGGAGAUCUUGCUGUAGGUUUUGAUUUAGGAAGCCACUGCUGUCUGCAUUCUAGGGGUCACCCUUGAUUUGAGCUUUCCUUUGGAUCCUGUCAACAUAAAUGUACUGGGUAGGAUCAGCUGCAAGAAAGCCAGUAUUUUUCUCUGACUACAGUCCUUGGUUUGGCUAGAUCUCUAUUACAAAAUGAGUGGGGCAGAUUUUGUUGUGGUUCUUUGUUAUAGCUAAGGCCAUAUAUAGGGUUUGAGAGGAGUACUAAGUGGUAUUGACAAUAUCGAAAGCAUUGCUUUUAAUUAUUUGGGGCCUUGCUAAAGUUUCUGAAUUCAAGGAGCCAAAAUAAUAUUUUAGAAAUUAGCAGGGCCCAGGGCUCAAAUUUAGCAGUGGUUAAAUUGACUGGUUACCAAAAGUAUUCUUCCUGCUUACAGAUCAGCUGGCAGAUUGGUCCCUGC